UUUUAUUUGAGAGUUUGAUCCUGGCUCAGGAUGAACGCUGGCGGCGUGCCUAACACAUGCAAGUUGAGCGAUUUACUUCGGUAAAGAGCGGCGGACGGGUGAGUAACGCGUGGGUAACCUACCCUGUACACACGGAUAACAUACCGAAAGGUAUGCUAAUACGGGAUAAUAUAUUUGAGAGGCAUCUCUUGAAUAUCAAAGGUGAGCCAGUACAGGAUGGACCCGCGUCUGAUUAGCUAGUUGGUAAGGUAACGGCUU
rnacentral:rRNA from 1 species